CUCGUAGGUGGUUUGUCGCGUCGUCUGUGAAAUCCCGGGGCUUAACUUCGGGCGUGCAGGCGAUACGGGCAUAACUAGAGUGCUGUAGGGGAGACUGGAAUUCCUGGUGUAGCGGUGAAAUGCGCAGAUAUCAGGAGGAACACCGAUGGCGAAGGCAGGUCUCUGGGCAGUUACUGACGCUGAGGAGCGAAAGCAUGGGGAGCAAACA
rnacentral:rRNA from 1 species